UACGUAGGGGGCAAGCGUUGUCCGGAAUUAUUGGGCGUAAAGAGCGCGUAGGCGGUCCGAUAAGUCGGCUGUGAAAGUCCAGGGCUCAACCCUGGAAAGCCGGCCGAUACUGUCGGACUAGAGUCCGGAAGAGGCAAGUGGAGUUCCCGGUGUAGCGGUGAAAUGCGCAGAUAUCGGGAGGAACACCUGUGGCGAAGGCGGCUUUCUGGGCCCUACCUGACGCUGAGACGCGAAAGCGUGGGGAGCGAACCGG
rnacentral:rRNA from 1 species